rnacentral:tRNA from 1 species
AUCUCUUUAGUAUAAAAAGUACAUGUGACUUCCAAUUACCCAGCCUUGGUUAAACUCCAAGAAGAGAUA